GCACUGAGCACCGAAACCUGCCAAAACCCUUUCAGAACAAGUACCCAUGAGUGCGUGAAGGUGCAAGAAGCUCUGGGCAUAUGCUGUCCAUCAGGGGCUGCUGGUGCUUCUGAAAUGGCACCCAGAUGCCGUUUGGCAUUAAAAUAACCCUGACUUUUUUUGUGGAGAGCCAAAAAUAACACCGUUUGAUGUUCCCUGUGGAUGGCUGGCUCCCAGGUGCCAAUUACCAGCUCAUGGCUAAUACUUUGAAGUUUUGCUAACCUUAGGGGGGUGGAUCAGGCUGCAGGAGUCAGGACGAGGGACAGCCCUGGCACAGGUCACCCAGCCAAAUGCUGGUGCAUCCCCUCAGGAAAGAGGCCAGUGUUUAUACAGCCUGCAGCAUCGCUCUGGUUGGGAGGAAAGUGCUAUCAUCAUUGGCUGAAAGAAAAGCUGCCUUCUUCUUUUUAGCAGCUGGUGUGAUUUCAGAGAGACGGGGUCUACAAAUUCAUCUACCAUCACAGGAUUUAGUCCUUAAUCGAGACAGAACAGAAAUGACAAAUCCAUUACAAAACCCUUCCUGAAAGAGCCUGUCCAUGGUCUGUUUUCCUGGAAUAUUGCAUGAGAUGCCUCAGUGAAGUGCCUGAAGUCACAAGGAAGGGAGCUAGAACAUCAAUCUGCAUCUGUUGUCUCCUGCGGAGUUGUCAUCACUCAUCUUGUCUGAACUAACAGGUAAGGGACAGCAUGACCCG
rnacentral:lncRNA from 1 species